UCUGGUGAUGAUGGCGAAGAGGUCACACCCGUUCCCAUCCCGAACACGGAAGUUAAGCUU
rnacentral:rRNA from 1 species